AUUUAUGUGGCACAAACACAUGACCAGGAAUCUGAGCAGCAGCGAUGCAGUUCUCCAUUUCCAUGUUGUUCUCGGUGACAUUCAUUGUCGAUCUGAGCGAUGGAGUUUCUGUUACUCAGCGGGAGCCCUCAUUCACGCAAACAGAGGGAGAAUAUGUCACUUUAACCUGCACGUACACUGGUAAUGUUUACUACUUGUUCUGGUACCGCCAGUCCCGUGGAAGAAAGCCCGAGUUCGCAGUCCGGAAUCUCGAGAGUAGUGGUGAUGAAUUUAAGGCGAAUUUCGCUCAGAAACGGUUUUCUGGUAAGGUCCAGCAGUCCAACAAGUUGUACCGAUUGACGAUCUCGGAUCUGCUGCUGUCUGACACCGCUGUCUAUUACUGUGCAGCGAGCCUCACAGUCAUGGGAAAAAGCGACAGUCUCAUCUCGCCAAUUACGGCAGUGGCAAUCUCUCGAUUGAACAAUUCGGAACAGAUUACCCACAGCAAAAUAGAACAGUGGGCUGUCAAAUGCGAUAUCAAAAGAAAGAAGAAGGCGUGA